GUAGCUCAGUCUGGCUAGAGCAUCGGUCUCCAAAACCGAGGGUCGCGGGUUCGAAUCCUGCC
rnacentral:tRNA from 1 species